rnacentral:rRNA from 1 species
AUGACUGGACGAAACCAAAAAAUAACCCCUUAUAUGUGAAAUUAUAGAAGAUCCCCUUUAAGAUCAAACAAUUCCAUCGAAUUGAGUAUGACUGUAUGUGUGAUAUCUACUAUACCAGGAAUAUCAAUGAACCCCAUUCUUGCAAUUGCUCAGGAUACCCUCUUUUAG